rnacentral:tRNA from 1 species
CGGGUGUAGUUCAACGGUAGAACGUCAGCCUCCCACGCUGAUAAUGUGGGUUCGAUUCCCAUCACCC